rnacentral:tRNA from 1 species
GCCUCGCUGGCUCAGUUGGUAGAGCAUCUGAAUCUUGAUCUCUGGGUCAUGAGUUCGAGCCCCAUGUCAGGCA